rnacentral:miRNA from 1 species
GUCUAGCUUCUUGUAAAAUACACU